GACGAACCGAGCGAACGUUAUUCGGAAUCACUGGGCUUAAAGGGCGCGUAGGCGGGCCGUCAAGUCGAGGGUGAAAUCCCCCAGCUCAACUGGGGAAGUGCCUCCGAUACUGGCGGCCUCGAGGGGGAUAGGGGCAUGCGGAACUUCCGGUGGAGCGGUGAAAUGCGUAGAUAUCGGAAGGAACACCGGUGGCGAAAGCGGCGUGCUGGAUCCCUUCUGACGCUGAGGCGCGAAAGCCAGGGGAGCGAACGGG
rnacentral:rRNA from 1 species